rnacentral:lncRNA from 1 species
CGUGUUUGAUCCUGUUUGUGUGGCGCUGGCGCAGUUGAAAUCAAAAAUUCUGAAGUCGAAUCGCGUGUGCUCGUGAAGGAACAACAUCCGGCGUUGGGAACAAAUACACCGGGUGACCGAACCGGCACGGCGGGAUGGCGGAAUUUUCGCAUAUUUGGGGACUUCUUCUACCAGGCCCGGCGCCUGCUGCGGACACUUCCGGCCGGAUUUGUUCAGGAUGGUCGUUUCGUCUGGAGGCGAAAAUCGUUAGGGGCCUAUUCCACUGAGGAUUGUGCUUCAUAAAUACGCGAGAGUUCAUCCCAAGUACGAAGCAGUAGUUCCGGCACCGGCUACAAACAUUUCGAACAACGUCAGAAAGUUCGGAUUGAAGCAGAAUAUUAAAAGAAAACGACGCGGAAAAAAGUACUAAUUAUUUUAAAUCAACGAAAAAAAAAA